CUUUUCCUCUCAGUCCUAUACUGUGAUUUGAAAGAGUUGGUCAAAGUGGUCCAAACCCAUCAUCCUCGACUGCAUUGUACUUCAAAUCCAGUACACGCACCUUCCACUUCACCAGGAAAAACUGGAAACUGAGCAGGCUCUGUGGGACACCCACGACAUCCGCAAACAACGCCAUGCUCCAGGCCCAUUUGGGAAGCCAGACCUUCUCUACACCUCACCACCUCCUGGUUUUGCCGAAAUGCUGUACACAGUGGACACAGACCUCCUUGACCAUGCAAAAGACAUAAUCAGUGAGAAAGAUGAACCAUCGAUGGUGGCAAACUCAGAAUUCAGAGAAAUGUGCCAGACCAUGUUAGGGAAAAGUCAAUUUCCAUGUACAGUGGAGGGCUGCCUUGCUGCAUACCUCAUGGUAGUGAAGGAACACACCACUGCCAUGACUAGGAACACGCUUCCUACACCCUCUACAUUUGCAGAGGCAAAUGAAAUGUAAAAGUUUUUGAUCAGUGGAAGUAUGUCAGUGGAGUGACUGGUUCUUUUGGGAAAUAAAAAGUAUGC